GAUGAACGCUGGCGGCGUGCCUAAUACAUGCAAGUCGAGCGAACAGACGAGGAGCUUGCUCCUUUGACGUUAGCGGCGGACGGGUGAGUAACACGUGGGUAACCUACCUAUAAGACUGGGAUAACUUCGGGAAACCGGAGCUAAUACCGGAUAAUAUUUCGAACCGCAUGGUUCGAUAGUGAAAGAUGGCUUUGCUAUCACUUAUAGAUGGACCUGCGCCGUAUUAGCUAGUUGGUAAGGUAACGGCUUACUAAGGCAACGAUACGUAGCCGACCUGAGAGGGUGAUCGGCCACACUGGAACUGAGACACGGUCCAGACUCCUACGGGAGGCAGCAGUAGGGAAUCUUCCGCAAUGGGCGAAAGCCUGACGGAGCAACGCCGCGUGAGUGAUGAAGGUCUUCGGAUCGUAAAACUCUGUUAUUAGGGAAGAACAAACGUGUAAGUAACUGUGCACGUCUUGACGGUACCUAAUCGGAAAGCCACGGCUAACUACGUG
rnacentral:rRNA from 1 species